rnacentral:rRNA from 1 species
AAUAUUGCGCAAUGGAGGGAACUCUGACGCAGCGACGCCGCGUGAGCGAUGAAGGUCUUCGGAUCGUAAAGCUCUGUCCUUGGGGAAGAAGGGAGCCGUAAGGCUUCUUGACGGUACCCAUGGAGGAAGCCCCGGCUAACUACGUGCCAGCAGCCGCGGUAAUACGUAGGGGGCAAGCGUUGUCCGGAUUUACUGGGCGUAAAGGGCGCGUAGGCGGUAGUUUAAGUCAGAUGUGAAAGUCCAGGGCUCAACCGUGGAAUUGCAUUUGAAACUGAAUUACUUGAGUGCAGGAGAGGAGAGCGGAAUUCCUAGUGUAGCGGUGAAAUGCGUAGAUAUUAGGAAGAACACCAGUGGCGAAGGCGGCUCUCUGGACUGUAACUGACGCUGAGGCGCGAAAGCGUGGGGAGCGAAC